AUUGAACUCUGGCGGCAGGCCUAACACAUGCAAGUCGGGCGCGCGGCGGACGGGUGAGUAAUGUAUGGGGAUCUGCCUGCUGGAGGGGGAUAACUACUGGAAACGGUAGCUAAUACCGCAUAUCAUCGGCGGACCCCCUAGGGGCUUAGCUUGUAGGUGAGGUAACGGCUCACCUCGGCGACGAUCCCUUGCUGGGCUGAGAGGAUGAUCAGCCACACUUGGACUGAGACACGGACCAGACUCCUACGGGAGGCAGCAGUGGGGAAUAUUGCACAAUGGGCGCAAGCCUGAUGCAGCCAUGCCGCGUGUAUGAAGAAGGCCUUCGGGUUGUAAAGUACUUGCAGUCGGGAGGCGUUACCGACAGAAGAAGCACCGGCUAACUCGGUGCCAGCAGCCGCGGUAAUAC
rnacentral:rRNA from 1 species